UGCCACGAUGCAUUCAAUGGUGCAAUUUUGUGACACCCCAUACAAAUGCACACGAAGCUCGUGUUGCGCGACGAUUACUCGACACACAGCAUCUGCACGGGAGGAAUUACGCGCGUCAGUCGUGACGAACGCGCGCGGCUACGUCUACGAUCAUUAAAGACCAAUCCUUCGGUAUGGUAGGAACGCGUCUCUUCUUCUCGUCUUUACCCAGAGAGUAGCACGUAUAGUACACACAGUGAAUUGCAACCGUGAGCCAGGGUUGCGUAACGGAUCACCGAGUCCCGCGAGUCCGUUGUGUUGCCAGCGAGCAGGGAAACACACUAGCUGACUAAUGCACGAAGAUGCAUCUCUCCCUCGGUUACAACAAGCCGGCCCCUAAGCGUCGUUCAGCCGCCUGCAUAUUAUGAAACAAGGAUGUCUGCGACGGAAAGCGGGUCACUGCACGGAGGGUUCGAGAUGUCACGCGCAAGAAUCCUGUAAUGACCGUGUGAUGGCUAAUUUUAUGAACUUACGUCGACGAAAUAAAGGUGUAUUGGUUAUUGAGGUAUCAGCUGGAAACUUGAUAUAUGCAGAUUGUUGUUUGGAAGUUAAUUGUUCGACGACAUUCAUUAAACGUUAGAACAUUUUUGUGUGUUAUGGAAGAAACGAAAGAAUACCGGAAGGUGCAUGGAAAUGUCGUUUAGAAAAUUUGUCCACCUAUAUUGUCUACAAUGUGCCGCCCAGUGUCAUGUUUUAUCAAUCUUUGUGGCUUUUCUCGUUAAUAUGAAACAUAAUAUCCGACUGAACGUUUAUGCAUGAUAGUUUUGUAUCUCACAAUGCAAUCGUGGUUAUUGCAACUGAUCGAUUAUUAUCGGAAUAUCCAGUAAUAGGAUAUCGGAAAUUGAAAUACACAAUUACAUUCAAUACAAAGGAAGGCGUAAUUAAUUUCAGAAAAAUUACGCAUUAUACAUUUCAUUUAAAAUUGUUCGUUAUGUAUGUGCGUGUGUGUUUAAUACCAAUAUUUAUAAGAUAAUUUCAAACAAGUAAUCUUCCCUGACAUUGUUAAAAAUGUUACUCAAUUAUACCAAUAUUCAUCGUGAUUAAUAAUUACGGGUAAUCGUAUUUACUGCACGAUUUGUCAGACAUGGUUUGUCUGAAUCCAUCAGGAGAUAAACAAUUUAUGUGAUAGAAGCUCACUGAUUUUCCCCGUCAAUUAUGAUUUUUUGUUUUGAUAAAUGGCCUUACACCGUACGUCUAUUAAUUCUCAUUUUACUUGUAAUUAUCCAUACAUGGGAUAUUUGAGGAUAUUAGACGUCAGUGGUUCAAAUGUUAAAUAACUAAUUUAGUCGCUAAUGAUUACAUAUCCAUCUUAAUUGUCAGUUGGAAUUACACAUCGAUUAAAUACAAAUUUAAUUGUUAAUCAUAAUUCAUAUAAAAAUAUCUUUGUAAUUAGUAACUGGUUGUCAUUAGACUGCGAUAAUUUAUACAAAUUCAUACUUUUAUGAAUAUAAUUAAAAAGAUGGCACUUGAACAAGAAUUUCGUUUGCAUAGAAAAUUAUGUGCAUUCCGUACAUCUUCAAAUUCCCAAUAAAUGUAUAAAAAUUCAGUCAAGUUAUCUUUAAUUGCAUUAAAACUUGCUCAACACUGAUGGCUACCUACGUAUGUUUAUCUACAUAGAUAAAUAUAAAUCUUGUGUUAAUUUGUACAAGUAUCAUCGUUUCAUCAGCCUCGAGAAUGUCCCUAAUUUGUCACGCGAAUUUCUUCAUCUUUGUAAACUAGUUUGUAACUCAGACAUUGCGUAAUGUUAGUCCAACACGCUACUUUUAAUGCGGAGCAAGUUCACUCGAAUUUACAGAAAUAUUUUAUUUUUGUGCUGGAAGCGAGAAAUAUUAAGCCUAUUUCUUAACUACGACGAUUUUACACAAAAUUUACUAAUCUAAAAAAAUAGAUACGCCUGACAAGUAUCUGCGUUACAAAGUCUAUUCCUAUGGGAUUAGAAAUUCAAAACAGAUUUCACAAUAUGCGUUGCAUCCUCGCAUUCAUUGAUUACCGCAACGAUUGCCAUUACGGUGUUUACUUCUGUAAAUCAGAUUAUUCAACACUCUGCUAUGCUUUCAUUAAUUCAAGAGAGAGUAGUAAAAAUGUAUGUCGUAAUAAAUAGGCAAUCUAUUAUUAGAAUAAACACACCCCCGAUCAUAGUUGUCAAGACGCUAGAAACGAUUAGGAAAUCACGUUGAAAUUUGUGUUAAAGUAAAUUGGCAGCAUAGAAUUUUGAGAUAAAUAAAUAAUUGAUAUAUUGAAUAUUAUCGUAAAAAUCUCAUCUUUCUA